UACGUAGGGGGCAAGCGUUGUCCGGAAUCAUUGGGCGUAAAGCGCGUGUAGGCGGUCCGGUAAGUCCGCUGUGAAAGUCGGGGGCUCAACCCUCGGAUGCCGGUGGAUACUGUCGGGCUUGAGUACGGAAGAGGCGAGUGGAAUUCCUGGUGUAGCGGUGAAAUGCGCAGAUAUCGGGAGGAACACCGGUGGCGAAGGCGG
rnacentral:rRNA from 1 species